GAUCCUGGCUCAGAUUGAACGCUGGCGGCAGGCUUAACACAUGCAAGUCGAACGGUAACAGGAGAAAGCUUGCUUUCUUGCUGACGAGUGGCGGACGGGUGAGUAAUGCUUGGGAAUCUGGCUUAUGGAGGGGGAUAACGACGGGAAACUGUCGCUAAUACCGCGUAGAGUCGAGAGACGAAAGUGGGGGACCGCAAGGCCGCAUGCCAUAGGAUGAGCCCAAGUGGGAUUAGGUAGUUGGUGGGG
rnacentral:rRNA from 1 species